CUUUCGGAGCUGUGCGGCAUUCUGAGCAGGAAUGGCAGUGUGGACCUCUGUGAUGGGACAUCUUGUGGGAUCUCACAGCCAGUUCUGUGGCAAAGGAGGAUGAAGGCUUACGAGGACUCGUCAGGAAGCUGGAUAACAGAGCGAGCGCAAUGUGCUAGAAUAGAAGACCAGAAAAUGAAAUGGUGGAGUUUGAGGCUGGAUAGACAGUUUGAAAGUUAACUGGUUGCAUGCUUGUUCAUUUGGCUGGCUUGCUUGGGUACAAAUAAUGGUUUGAAUAAAGAAAGGUAUUAAUGGGUCACCUCAAGUGAAGGCACUGCAAACACAAUGAUUGGUCAUUCUGAAUUUCCGGUCCUUCAUUCUGAAUUUCAAAGGCUCCUGUGACAAGUGGACAUGCAGUGACUGCACCUUUGUUUCUGAGGUGCCUGGAUGGAGGCUCAAAUAGAAGAUGGUGUCAGAUAUAUUGUGUUAAAAUUUUACCAUUAAAGUGUAUUAUAACAUGAA
rnacentral:lncRNA from 1 species